UACGGAGGGGGCUAGCGUUGUUCGGAAUUACUGGGCGUAAAGCGCACGUAGGCGGCUUUGUAAGUUAGAGGUGAAAGCCCGGAGCUCAACUCCGGAACUGCCUUUAAGACUGCAUCGCUAGAACGUCGGAGAGGUAAGUGGAAUUCCGAGUGUAGAGGUGAAAUUCGUAGAUAUUCGGAAGAACACCAGUGGCGAAGGCGACUUACUGGACGACUGUUGACGCUGAGGUGCGAAAGCGUGGGGAGCAAACAGGAUUAGAAACCCCCGUAGUCC
rnacentral:rRNA from 1 species